rnacentral:rRNA from 1 species
UGCGUAGGCGGCGCGGUAAGUCGGGUGUGAAAUCUCGGAGCUUAACUCCGAAACUGCGUUCGAUACUGCCGUGCUUGAGGACUGGAGAGGAGACUGGAAUUUACGGUGUAGCGGUGAAAUGCGUAAAUAUCGUAAGGAAGACCAGUGGCGAAGGCGGGUCUCUGGACAGUUCCUGACGCUGAGGCACGAAGGUCAGGGGGAGCAAACGG